rnacentral:rRNA from 1 species
CCAGACUCCUACGGGAGGCAGCAGUGGGGAAUAUUGGGCAAUGGGCGCAAGCCUGACCCAGCAACGCCGCGUGAAGGAAGAAGGCCCUCGGGUUGUAAACUUCUUUUAUCAAGGACGAAACAAAUGACGGUACUUGAUGAAUAAGCCACGGCUAACUACGUGCCAGCAGCCGCGGUAAUACGUAGGUGGCAAGCGUUAUCCGGAUUUACUGGGUGUAAAGGGAGCGUAGGCGGCAGGGCAAGCCUGAUGUGAAAGCCCGGGGCUCAACCCCGGGACUGCAUUGGGAACUGCCCCGCUCGAGUGCCGGAGGGGCAGGCGGAAUUCCUAGUGUAGCGGUGAAAUGCGUAGAAAUUAGGAGGAACACCAGUGGCGAAGGCGGCCUGCUGGACGAUGACUGACGUUGAGGCUCGAAAGCGUGGGGAGCAAACAGGAUUAGAUACCCCAGUAU